rnacentral:rRNA from 1 species
CCUACGGGAGGCAGCAGUCGAGAAUCAUUCACAAUGGGGGAAACCCUGAUGGUGCGACGCCGCGUGGGGGAAUGAAGGUCUUCGGAUUGUAAACCCCUGUCAUGUGGGAGCAAAUUAAAAAGAUAGUACCACAAGAGGAAGAGACGGCUAACUCUGUGCCAGCAGCCGCGGUAAUACAGAAGUCUCAAGCGUUGUUCGGAAUCACUGGGCGUAAAGCGUGCGUAGGCUGUUUCGUAAGUCGUGUGUGAAAGGCGCGGGCUCAACCCGCGGACGGCACAUGAUACUGCGAGACUAGAGUAAUGGAGGGGGAACCGGAAUUCUCGGUGUAGCAGUGAAAUGCGUAGAUAUCGAGAGGAACACUCGUGGCGAAGGCGGGUUCCUGGACAUUAACUGACGCUGAGGCACGAAGGCCAGGGGAGCGAAAAGGAUUAGAUACCCGUGUAGUC